AGAGUUUGAUCAUGGCUCAGAAUGAACGCUGGCGGCGUGCUUAACACAUGCAAGUCGUGCGCGAAGGUGGCUUCGGCUACCGGAGAGCGGCGAACGGGUGAGUAACACGUGGGUGAUCUGCCUGGGAGCGGGGGAUAACCUGGGGAAACUCGGGCUAAUACCGCGUACGUUGAUCAGGUUGCGGCCUGGUCAAGAAAGCUGGCCUCUAUUUAUAAGCUAGCGCUCCCAGAGGAGCCCGCGGCUGAUUAGCUAGUUGGUGAGGUAAUGGCUCACCAAGGCGACGAUCAGUAGCCGGCCUGAGAGGGUGAUCGGCCACACUGGGACUGAGACACGGCCCAGACUCCUACGGGAGGCAGCAGUGGGGAAUAUUGGACAAUGGGCGCAAGCCUGAUCCAGCAACGCCGCGUGGAGGACGAAGGUCUUCGGAUCGUAAACUCCUGUCAGGCGGGACGAAGGCUGCGGGGCAAAUAGUCCUGCAGCUUGACGGUACUGCCAGAGGAAGCCCCGGCUAACUCCGUGCCAGCAGCCGCGGUAAUAC
rnacentral:rRNA from 1 species